rnacentral:rRNA from 1 species
AGAACGAACGCUGGCGGCAUGCCUAAUACAUGCAAGUCGAACGAACACUUCGGUGUUAGUGGCGCACGGGUGCGUAACGCGUGGGAAUCUGCCCUUGGGUUCGGAAUAACAGUUGGAAACGACUGCUAAUACCGGAUGAUAUCGAAAGAUCAAAGAUUUAUCGCCCAGGGAUGAGCCCGCGUAGGAUUAGCUAGUUGGUGAGGUAAAGGCUCACCAAGGCGACGAUCCUUAGCUGGUCUGAGAGGAUGAUCAGCCACACUGGGACUGAGACACGGCCCAGACUCCUACGGGAGGCAGCAGUAGGGAAUAUGGACAAGUGGGCGCAAGGCCUGAUCCAGCAAUGCCGCGUGAGUGAGUGAAGGUCCUUAGGGUUGUAAAGCUUCUUUAACCCGAGAUGAUAAUGACAGUAUCGGAAGAACGUAACGCCCGGUAUACGUUCCGUG